rnacentral:piRNA from 1 species
UUCAGCCCAGGGCGAGGUCCAUGAAA